rnacentral:rRNA from 1 species
AGUGAACGCUGGCGGUAGGCCUAACACAUGCAAGUCGAACGGCAGCACAGUAAGAGCUUGCUCUUACGGGUGGCGAGUGGCGGACGGGUGAGGAAUACAUCGGAAUCUACUUUUUCGUGGGGGAUAACGUAGGGAAACUUACGCUAAUACCGCAUACGACCUACGGGUGAAAGCAGGGGAUCUUCGGACCUUGCGCGAUUGGAUGAGCCGAUGUCGGAUUAGCUAGUUGGCGGGUUAAGGGCCCACCAAGGCGACGAUCCGUAGCUGGUCUGAGAGGAUGAUCAGCCACACUGGAACUGAGACACGGUCCAGACUCCUACGGGAGGCAGCAGUGGGGAAUAUUGGACAAUGGGCGCAAGCCUGAUCCAGCCAUACCGCGUGGGUGAAGAAGGCCUUCGGGUUGUAAAGCCCUUUUGUUGGGAAAGAAAAGCAGCAGGUUAAUACCCCGCUGUUCUGACGGUACCCAAAGAAUAAGCACCGGCUAACUUCGUG